rnacentral:rRNA from 1 species
GGUUCAGGAUGAACGCUAGCUACAGGCUUAACACAUGCAAGUCGAGGGGCAGCGGGAAGUCAGCUGCUGACUUGCCGGCGACCGGCGCACGGGUGCGUAACGCGUAUCCAACCUGCCGUGUACUCGGGGAUAGCCCUCUGAAAGGAGGAUUAAUACCCGAUGGGGUCAUUUGAAGACAUCUUCUUGUGAUCAAAGAUUUAUCGGUACACCGAUGGGGAUGCGUACGAUUAGUUAGUCGGCGGGUAACGGCCCACCGAGACGACGAUCGUUAGGGGUUCUGAGAGGAAGGUCCCCCACAUAGGAACUGAGACACGGUCCUAACUCCUACGGGAGGCAGCAGUGAGGAAUAUUGGUCAAUGGGCGAGAGCCUGAACCAGCCAAGUAGCGUGAAGGAAUGACUGCCCUACGGGUUGUAAACUUCUUUUAUGCGGGAAUAACCUCCACUACGCGUAGUGGUCUGCAUGUACCGCAUGAAUAAGCAUCGGCUAAUUCCGUGCCAGCCGCCGC